rnacentral:rRNA from 1 species
GUGUCAGCAGCCGCGGUAAUACGAAGGGGGCUAGCGUUGUUCGGAAUUACUGGGCGUAAAGCGCGCGCAGGCGGUCUUCCAAGUCAGUGGUGAAAGCCUGGAGCUCAACUCCAGAACUGCCAUUGAAACUGUUAGACUUGAGUACGAGAGAGGUGAGUGGAAUUCCCAGUGUAGAGGUGAAAUUCGUAGAUAUUGGGAAGAACACCAGUGGCGAAGGCGGCUCACUGGCUCGUAACUGACGCUCAGGCGCGACAGCGUGGGGAUCAAACAGGAUUAGAUACCCUCGUAGUCC